UACGUAGGGCGCAAGCGUUGUCCGGAAUUAUUGGGCGUAAAGAGCUCGUAGGCGGUCUGUUACGUCCGCUGUGAAAACCCAGGGCUUAACCCUGGGCUUGCAGUGGAUACGGGCAGACUAGAGGCAGGUAGGGGAGAAUGGAAUUCCCGGUGUAGCGGUGAAAUGCGCAGAUAUCGGGAGGAACACCGGUGGCGAAGGCGGUUCUCUGGGCCUGACCUGACGCUGAGGAGCGAAAGCGUGGGUAGCAAACAGG
rnacentral:rRNA from 1 species